rnacentral:rRNA from 2 species
AGUCGAGGGGUAUAGUUCUUCGGAAUUAGAGACCGGCGCACGGGUGCGUAACGCGUAUGCAAUCUACCUUUUGCAGAGGGAUAGCCCAGAGAAAUUUGGAUUAAUACCUCAUAGUAUAGCAGUUUCGCAUGAAACCACUAUUAAAGUCACAACGGCAAAAGAUGAGCAUGCGUCCCAUUAGCUAGUUGGUAAGGUAACGGCUUACCAAGGCUACGAUGGGUAGGGGUCCUGAGAGGGAGAUCCCCCACACUGGUACUGAGACACGGACCAGACUCCUACGGGAGGCAGCAGUGAGGAAUAUUGGACAAUGGGCGCAAGCCUGAUCCAGCCAUGCCGCGUGCAGGAUGACGGUCCUAUGGAUUGUAAACUGCUUUUGUACAGGAAGAAACACUCCCUCGUGAGGGAGCUUGACGGUACUGUAAGAAUAAGGAUCGGCUAACUCCGUGCCAGCAGCCGCGGUAAUACGGAGGAUCCAAGCGUUAUCCGGAAUCAUUGGGUUUAAAGGGUCCGUAGGCGGUUUAGUAAGUCAGUGGUGAAAGCCCAUCGCUCAACGGUGGAACGGCCAUUGAUACUGCUAGACUUGAAUUAUUAGGAAGUAACUAGAAUAUGUAGUGUAGCGGUGAAAUGCUUAGAGAUUACAUGGAAUACCAAUUGCGAAGGCAGGUUACUACUAAUGGAUUGACGCUGAUGG